CGCUGGCGCUCACGACUCUUCUUGAAACCAACGGCUACAUGGUCGGGGGGGGGCCUCUGGCGACACGCAUAAACAAAACAUACCAUAUCAUUUCUGCCCAAUGGCAUGGGAGUGUUUGCGUAUGGGGGUACGUCUUGUAUGGGAGCUGCACUGCAUUCUUUCGGGACUCACACACACAUAUAUGUAUAUAUAUAGAACGCGCUAGUGCGCGCCUCUUUUCUCUCGUCGUCUGCUUCUGUCAGCACGCUCCUGCCCCUUCCCCCUCCGUGACCUCUUCAGCGUACUGGGAUUGAGCAGCAUCAAAAAGAGACACCCCGAGAAAUAACUCUUGAGCUGAUUGUAUAGCUCUCCUACGCGUCUUCCUUUGCUCUCCCAUAAUGGCAAACCUCUGCCUUGGCGAGGAUUUUAGUGAGGAGCUCACCUGCGCGGUGUGUCUUGACUCAUGGAAGGACCCGGUCGAGCUGAUGCCGUGUGGGCACAUCUUCUGCAAGGCGUGUGCGACGGGCUUGAAGGAGUGCCCCGUGUGUCGGGACCCCAUCCGCUCCACAAAAGCGCCGAACCGCACAUUAGUCAACAUGGCGCUGCAGAUCCGGGUAAAGUGUAGACGGUGCCAGUGGAAGGGGACACGUGAGCAAGGGAUGAGCCACGUAUGCGGCGCCUCGGGAAGUGGUUCGUGUGCACCGCAGACGACGACGCCCUCUACCAUGAGACCGCCUCCAGCACCGGCGAGUAGCUCCUCUGCUGCUUACGACUACCGCGCGCCGGUGCCGAGCGCGUGCGCCAACUAUGGUGACUACACUGCACCGCCGAACCUUGAGGAUUUUUGGACCAGCGGCGCACCGGCACCACCUGCCACCGCCCCGGGGCGCCCUCGCGUGAUUGAGCCGACCGGCCCACGCCCGUGGACGCUGUACGGAUUGGACCAGUCCGAGUACGACCAGAUCGUUUCUCUCUUUGUUUUCUUCGACGAUAACGAAAGCGGUAAUCUGGAGCCGAAUGAGGUGACCCGUCUCGCACGUUGGCUGAACUUUGCGAACACUCCGCAGGACGUGAAGCGGAUCUUCGACGAUAUGGACGUUGACCGCAGCGGAAAGCUCUCCCUCGGCGAGUUCUUGACGUGGCUUCGGUACAACAAGCCGAACCCGCAGGCCCUCUACGGCCUCACGCAGUCGCAGUACAAUACAAUCAUGAUGCAGUUCCAUACGUACGACAAGAAUCAGGACGGGUGCCUAGAAAUGAACGAGUUUUCUCGGUUAGUGCAGAAUCUCGGCGACGUGCGCGAUGCUGUCACAGCGCAGCGUCUGUUCCAGAUGAUCGACCAGGAUCGCGACGGUGUCAUCAGCCUGCACGAGUUUCUCCGUUUCCGAAGCGGAAAAUACUAAGGCAAACGAUGCUGGCCUUUUUUCUACUUCGGUUUUGCCUCCUCACGGGCAGAGGCAGCGCGAUCUGUGACCAUGACAGCACGCAGCACCAGUGACGCUCGAGAAGCGGGACGGCCACAGCCGUUAUGUACGUCUCUUUCACCGCUCGUCUUUUGCACGACACGCUCUUCGCUGGUGAGAAGUCGCCGUAGCCACGGCGAAUAUUAUGGCGGAUUGCAUCUUUUCUUGAUUCCUUGCAGUACCCAUACACCCUGCUGUCGUGGGACCCCUCCCAGUGCGUGGUAUCGCAGGGUCCAGUGCUCCCACUCUGUCUGGGGAGGCCGAGCAGCCCCCCCUCCACUAUCCCCGCCAAAGGCCAGCCCGCUUCUCGUGGUGACAGAGUCAUGCACCGACGACGUAGGGGGGAGGUCGGAGUGAGUCACCGCCACUGCUGUCGGCGGUCAGGUCCUGGAUGGCGCUGCGGUGGAGGCGCCUGCAACAGUGAGCACGCUUGUGCCAUCCGUGUGGUGGGCGGAGCUCCGGCGUGACUCUGGCGUGCCCCCCCACCCGACCCUCACACUGCCUUGCUGGUGGGGGAGCCUGGGCCACCGCGGGCGGGAUGCGGCGGGUGGGGACGGGCAUGGUGGUGGGGGGGCGGCUGUGGGGCGGCCUGCGGGGUCAGGGACGAGUAGAUUGUGAGGCGCGGGGUCCUUGCCGUGAUGCGUGCCUGCUGCUGCUUUUCGCGAGGCGAUGGGGCCUGCGGGCAGGGCUGUGCCGAGCGUGGGCUGGGUCAUGCUCUGUGGCAGAGGGGACGCGUCGAGGCGACCGAAACGACUCGAUUAGUCUGCCUUACACAGCUUUUUGCUUUUCUCAUCGCCGCUUGAGCUGUCGGGCGAGACAGACCGCUCCUGCCCAGAUCUCUCUUUGAUGUCUUGUGAUAGGUUUUCCUCUCUAUUCGUUGUCAGCCUUUUCCUCCACCACCACGCUUCUGCUGCUCACGCCGUACGCUUUCAUGCAGGUGUACAUACCGAAGGUGUGCGUGUGUGUGUUUGGUGAGGGCGCGCCGCUUCUUUGGCAUCUCGUUGAUUAAUUUUUCUUUCAUUUUUAAGGGGGAUGCCGAUGGGCUCGUCGUCGUUUGUGUGUGCACGUUGCGCUGCGGCGUCACGCUUGUGCUACACCCCGAUAGGGGAGCAGUGAAGCUGGACUUCCUUCUCUUCUCCAACGACGUACACCCGCCCCCAUUCUUCGCUUCUUACAGGAAGAGGGCAGAGCGUGCUUCGAUGCAGCCUCACAAGAAGGCACCCAAUGCGGCAAGU
rnacentral:misc_RNA from 1 species